GAUGAAGAACGUAGUGAAAUGCGAUAAGUAAUGCGAAUUGCAGAAUCCGUGAGUCAUCGAAUCUUUGAACGCACAUUGCGCCCUCUGGUAUUCCGGAGGGCAUGCCUGUUCGAGCGUCAUUAUCACCCCUCAAGCCCGGCUUGUUGUUGGAUGCAGCGCUUAUCCCGCUCCUCCCAAAGAUAAUGACGGCGUCUGCGACGACUCCUGUACACUGAGCUUUCGGGCACGUACACGGCUAGAAGUCCAGACCCGGUCGCCGUCCCCCCCCGCGGGGGACACCCAUUACCACAAGGUUGACCUCGGAUCAGGUAGGAAUACCCGCUGAACUUAAGCAUAUCAAUAAGCGGAGGA
rnacentral:misc_RNA from 1 species